AGAAAAUCAAUGACGAGAAGAGUAAGAUAAAAUCCCCGUUCCCCAGAGAGUCGAUGCUUGGUGAAAAUCGACGUUCAGGCUUUAUCCGAAAAUCAUCUCUGAGAUGCAAAGCUGAAAACAGUAAGCUUUGACGGGUUGUCCGCCGUUACGAUGGAACACGUAUGAUGGUACGUUGACUGAGUGUCGUAUAUUUAUAUAUACGGAAUAAGGGUGGUAACGCGAGCUAUAGACUCGUCCCUAUU
rfam:Bacillus azotoformans LMG 9581 contig44, whole genome shotgun sequence.